GCUGUCACGUGACGUGCGUGGCGACGUGUCGGCCAUCUUGUGUUGUUGAGGCUGAAGACUGACUUGGAUUCUGAGAGACUCCCUGUCCCGGACCGCAGUGUUAAAAGGACCUGAACAAAGUCUGCUUGCACCUCCUGCUGUGAACCAGCAGAACUUUUGAACAGGUUUCUCCACAUAUAAAAAUCUAUUGUAAAAAUACGGAAAAUAAUGGCAGCGGAAACGCAGACACUGAACUUUGGGCCUGAAUGGCUCCGAGCUCUGUCCAGUGGUGGGAGUAUCACGUCCCCUCCUCUUUCUCCAGCUUUGCCGAAGUAUAAGUUAGCAGACUAUCGUUACGGUAGAGAAGAAAUGUUAGCACUUUUCCUUAAAGAUAACAAGAUACCUUCAGACCUUCUGGAUAAAGAAUUUCUGCCUAUCCUACAGGAGGAGCCCCUGCCUCCGUUGGCUCUUGUACCCUUUACAGAAGAAGAACAGAGAAACUUUUCCAUGUCUGUUAAUAGUGCUGCUGUCCUGCGAUUGACAGGACGAGGAGGAGGAGGAACAGUGGUGGGGGCUCCUAGAGGUCGAAGUUCUUCAAGAGGGCGAGGCAGAGGCAGAGGUGAAUGUGGUUUCUACCAAAGAAGCUUUGAUGAAGUGGAGGGUGUCUUUGGUCGAGGAGGUGGCAGGGAAAUGCAUAGGUCACAGAGCUGGGAGGAAAGAGGUGACAGACGUUUUGAAAAACCAGGACGAAAAGAUGUAGGGAGACCCAAUUUUGAGGAAGGUGGACCAACAUCAGUGGGAAGAAAGCAUGAAUUCAUACGAUCAGAAAGUGAAAAUUGGCGCAUUUUUAGAGAGGAACAAAAUGGAGAAGAUGAAGAUGGAGGUUGGCGACUAGCUGGAUCAAGAAGGGAUGGAGAGAGGUGGCGGCCGCACAGUCCUGAUGGCCCUCGUUCUGCAGGCUGGCGUGAACACAUGGAACGACGGCGAAGGUUUGAGUUUGAUUUUCGAGAUCGGGAUGAUGAACGGGGUUACCGAAGGGUGCGCUCUGGCAGUGGAAGCAUGGACGAUGACCGGGACAGCUUGCCCGAAUGGUGCCUAGAGGAUGCUGAAGAAGAGAUGGGCACAUUUGACUCCUCCGGAGCGUUCCUCUCUCUGAAGAAGGUCCAGAAAGAGCCGAUUCCAGAAGAGCAGGAGAUGGACUUCCGGCCUGUAGAGGAAGGGGGGGAGUGCUCCGAUUCUGAGAGCAGCCAUAACGAAGAAGCCAAAGAACCUGAUAAGACAAAUAGGAAAGAGGGAGAGAAGACAGAUAGAGUAGGAGUUGAAGCUAGUGAGGAAACAUCCCAGACCUCAUCAUCAUCUGCUAGACCAGGUACUCCUUCAGACCAUCAGCCUCAGGAAGCACCACAGUUUGAGAGGAAAGAGGAACCCCAAACUGAGCAAACAGAAAAAGCUGAGGAGGAGAGUCAGACGGAAAAUAGCCUGCCAACCAAAGUGCCCAGCAGAGGGGAUGAAACGGUUUCUGAUGUCCAGCAGUCCCUGUCCCAGAUUCCUUCAGAUGCAGCCUCUCCCCUUCUCAUACUUCCACCCCCUGUUCCCAGUCCUCGUCCUGCCCUGCGGCCAGUUGAAACGCCGGUCGUAGGUGCUCCUGGUAUGGGCAGUGUGUCCACAGAACCAGAUGAUGAAGAGGGCCUCAAACAUUUGGAGCAGCAAGCUGAGAAGAUGGUGGCUUAUCUCCAAGAUAGCGCACUAGAUGAUGAGAGAUUGGCAUCAAAACUGCAAGAGCACAGAGCUAAGGGAGUCUCAAUUCCAUUGAUGCACGAAGCAAUGCAGAAGUGGUAUUACAAAGAUCCUCAGGGAGAAAUUCAAGGUCCCUUCAAUAAUCAGGAGAUGGCGGAAUGGUUUCAGGCGGGCUAUUUUACCAUGUCUUUAUUGGUGAAGAGAGCGUGUGAUGAAAGCUUCCAACCUCUUGGUGAUAUCAUGAAAAUGUGGGGAAGGGUUCCCUUCUCUCCCGGUCCAGCUCCCCCUCCUCAUAUGGGAGAGUUGGACCAGGAACGACUGACCAGGCAGCAGGAGCUCACGGCCUUGUACCAGAUGCAGCACCUUCAGUACCAGCAGUUCUUGAUACAACAACAAUAUGCGCAGGUUUUGGCUCAACAACAGAAAGCAGCCCUGUCUUCGCAGCAGCAGCAACAGUUGGCACUUCUUCUCCAACAGUUCCAGGCUCUGAAGAUGAGAAUAUCUGAUCAGAACAUCAUUCCUUCAGUAACUAGGUCUGUGUCAGUGCCAGAUACUGGUUCUAUCUGGGAGCUUCAGCCAACAACCUCACAGCCUACAGUUUGGGAAGGUGGUAGUGUAUGGGAUCUUCCCCUUGACACCACGACUCCAGGACCUGCCCUUGAACAGCUUCAGCAGAUGGAGAAGGCCAAAGCUGCAAAGCUAGAACAGGAGAGAAGAGAGGCAGAAAUGAGGGCAAAACGGGAGGAGGAGGAGCGAAAGAGGCAAGAAGAACUCCGGAGACAACAGGAGGAAAUCCUUCGGAGGCAGCAGGAGGAAGAAAGGAAGAGGCGGGAAGAGGAAGAGCUCGCCCGAAGGAAACAGGAAGAAGCUCUGCGACGUCAAAGGGAACAAGAAAUUGCAUUAAGGCGACAGCGAGAAGAGGAAGAAAGACAACAGCAAGAAGAAGCUCUUAGGAGACUGGAAGAGAGGAGGAGAGAAGAGGAGGAAAGGCGGAAGCAGGAGGAGUUGUUACGCAAGCAGGAGGAGGAGGCUGCAAAAUGGGCCCGGGAAGAAGAAGAAGCCCAGCGUCGAUUAGAGGAGAACCGGCUGAGAAUGGAAGAGGAGGCGGCCCGACUCCGGCACGAAGAGGAGGAGCGGAAGAGGAAGGAGCUGGAGCUGCAGCGGCAGAAGGAGUUAAUGCGCCAGAGGCAGCAGCAGCAAGAGGCCCUCCGGAGGCUGCAGCAGCAACAGCAGCAGCAGCAGCUGGCGCAAAUGAAGCUUCCCUCUUCUUCCACGUGGGGCCAGCAGUCCAAUACAACAGCAUGUCAGUCCCAGGCAACGCUGUCAUUGGCUGAAAUCCAAAAACUAGAAGAGGAACGAGAACGGCAGCUUCGAGAAGAGCAAAGGCGGCAGCAGAGGGAAUUGAUGAAAGCUCUCCAGCAGCAGCAGCAGCAGCAAAAACUCUCAGGUUGGGGGAAUGUCAGCAAACCUGCAGGUACUGCGAAGUCUCUUCUAGAGAUACAGCAGGAAGAAGCCAGGCAGAUGCAGAAGCAACAGCAGCAGCAGCAGCACCAGCAACCAAACAGAGCCCGGAACAAUACGCAUUCCAACUUGCACACCAGCAUUGGGAAUUCUGUUUGGGGCUCUAUAAAUACUGGUCCCCCUAAUCAGUGGGCGUCUGACCUAGUCAGUAGUAUCUGGAGUAAUGCAGACACUAAAAACUCCAACAUGGGAUUCUGGGAUGAUGCAGUGAAAGAGGUGGGACCUAGGAAUUCUACAAAUAAAAAUAAAAACAACGCCAGUCUCAGUAAAUCUGUAGGUGUGUCUAACCGGCAGAAUAAGAAAGUAGAAGAAGAAGAAAAGUUGCUGAAGCUCUUUCAGGGAGUAAAUAAAGCCCAAGAUGGAUUUACCCAGUGGUGUGAACAGAUGCUUCAUGCCCUUAAUACGGCAAAUAACUUGGAUGUUCCCACAUUUGUUUCUUUCCUGAAAGAAGUAGAAUCUCCUUAUGAGGUCCAUGAUUAUAUUAGGGCCUAUCUAGGAGAUACAUCUGAGGCCAAGGAGUUUGCCAAGCAGUUCCUCGAGCGCCGUGCCAAACAGAAAGCCAACCAACGGCAGCAGCAGCAGCAGCAGCAACAGCAGCAACAGCAGCAGCAGCAGCAGCAGCAGCAACAGCAGCAGCAGCAGCAGCAGCAGGACUCUGUGUGGGGAAUGAAUCACAGUGCACUCCAUUCAGUAUUUCAGACCAAUCAAAGCAACAACCAACAAUCCAAUUUUGAGGCCGUACAAAGUGGCAAGAAGAAGAAAAAGCAGAAGAUGGUCCGAGCAGAUCCCAGUUUAUUAGGGUUUUCAGUCAAUGCUUCAUCAGAGCGACUCAAUAUGGGUGAAAUCGAGACUUUGGAUGACUACUGAGCACCUGCCAGUGGACUGGCCUUCCUUCUCCUCUCUGCUGACCAUGGAUUCUCCACCUUUGGACACAACAGUUACUCACCAUUUACUCUUUAUCACUCUGCAACAAGUCACAGAACCGAUCAUCUCAGGCUUUUUCUUCUAGCCCUUUGUGUCCAAGAUUCUUUAAAUUGUUUUUGUUGCCCCCCACAGAACAUCACCUGGAAUUGCCAAUCACACUUUGGUCUGGAGCCAUUGGACCGUCCGUCCCUGUGUGAGAAGUGCUGUGGUUCGGUGGCUCCUAGUCGAGCACCUUUUCUUUCUGUCAUCAUUGCCUGAAGAAGGCUGGAGUUGCUCUGAGAGCAGUUUGGUUUUGGCUGAUUAUAUUUGGUUUCUAUUUUUAUUCUUUUGGGUCACCAUUCUCCCUAUCCCUUCUUGCCUUCCUCCCUCCCUCCCAAACAUGUACAAUAACUAUACAGAGACUGCUACAAACUUGUAUAUAGUUUUUGGAUCAAAUAGCAUGAGGAGAUGGGGAACCAUUGAAACUUGGGACUCCUGCUCUCCUUUGCUUUGUAAAUUCAAAAGUGGGGGGUGGGGAAGAGGGAUAGUUAAAAUGUUUACAAAACUUUAAGCUCCCUCGGAACUUUUGCCAGUGUGGAGGAAAAUAAAAAAGAACUUAAAUAAAACGUGGUGGUAUUCUGUCUGAGCACACCUCGUGUACUCACCUUUGUCAAGGCUCAGUUUUGCGCUAAACUGUUUUCUUGGCACCGUGGAGAAGCUCCAGGCGCGUGAGCACCCGAGACACCGAAGCAGCCGUGACUUUUCCUGCCAGGUUAUGGAACACUGGCUGGUUCUGUAUUUGCGAACGUAGAGGUCACGAUAAACACGGGUAAGUUUGACCAAAUGUCUUUACUCCCUUUCACUGUCCCUUUCUGCUGACUUGUGGGUCGUCUCCUGCCCUCACACCACAGACACACACCCCUGAAUGUGCCUUCCAGAGCCUGCCCACACCUUCCAAACUAGACUCCACCGUGUGCUUGUUCAGAGAAAAUAAAAAUAAAUAGAACACAAACAUUUGGGGUGGGGUAGGUACAUUUGGGGGAGCAAAGUCAUUUUCAUCAUGGAACAUUCCAUUUAACCAAGAACCUUGCUUCUACUUGAGGAAUUUCCCACUUAGUGGAAACAAGCCACUCUUCCCCAGAAAUGUUCUUCUGUUUCAGUCCUGCUCCUUUUCACAUUCUCAUCUGUUCACUCCCUUCCAACCACCACAUUAUAUCCCUUCCUGUAAACUUAUUUGCAAACUAACGUAACUCUUUCUGAGUUUUAAAGUAUUUGUUUUGUGCGUGGUUUGCUUUUACUUAUUUUAAUUUGGAUGUUUGAAAAACAUACCCAGACAAGACAGUUUUAUUAUGGAGACUUUCCCCCCAGAUAGUUGGUGUUCUCGUUACUGUUGCUGCAUAACAACUUACCUCAGACUUAUUUACAACAACCCCCUCAUUUUGUUGGCAAUUUUAAGAGUCACAAUUUGGGGGAAGGGCUUAGCUGGGCAGUUCUCGCAUGGGGUCUCCUCUGAUCGCGGUAAGAUGUCAGCCGGGACAAUCUUCGGGAGCUUCGAUUAGGUUGGCAGGCCAAGACGGAUCACUCAGUGUGGCUGGCAGUUGCUUCUGGUUGUUGGCUGGGAGCUCAGCUGGGUUCAUGGCUGGAGGAACCAUGUAUUCCUUGUCACGGUAUCCUCAGGGUGGGUGGGCGGGCUUAGGUGGCACCUGGCUCCCACCCACCCCGAGGAGAACCAAGCAGGGGCUGCAUCACCUUUUCUAACCUAAACUCAGAAGUUCCGUAAUGUCGCUCCUGUGGUGCUUUUAUUCUGGCAAAGCCCGUGCACACCCAUCCAGAUUCAGCGGGCUGGGAACACGGGACUCUCCCCAUCCUUGUUGGGCGAUGUGGUAAGGUCACAUCGUAGGAGAGCACGUGGGGUGGGAGACGUUGCCAUUUGGGAGAGUUUUCGGCAUAAGAUGAGUUCUGCUUCUACAUCAAGGAAUUUGAACUCUUCAUUAGCUCUAAGUUGGGGGAUUACUUUUUAAUUUUAGGAUAGGUAAUAGCAGUACUGGCUUUAUCUCCGUUACCUUUCUUUUAGGCAAAUUGUAUAAAUAUGUAACAUAGUGGUGUGUGUGUCCUUUUAUACACUUUCUUUAAACUGAUCAGAUUAAGAAAUUGAAGUUUAUACAAAAUGCCCUCUCUGUGUUACUAAUAAAAAUAAAAAAGUCUGUAUGACAGAAAUGCUGCUGUGGAAUGAACCCAUUUCUCUCUUGUGCUUCCAGUGUGGAAAGUAGAAUUCCCUCACAAGAGCCUCAGGCGUGCACAUUCCAAAUAGGCUGUAACUUUCGACCAAGAGCACAUUCCAGAUGGAAGUUGGCCUCCCAGUUGAUGGGUUUCUUGGAGCGAAAAGAAAUAGCCCAGCUCUGGAGAUGGAUUUGGCCCUGCUUGAGUGCAGGCAGUUCCUGGUGAGGAAACUGCAGUGCCUGCUGAGAUCGUAGGGAGACUGGGACCUUGAAGCAGCCACAUGUGUGGGGUUUAUUUGAAGGGUGUCACCGGAUGUCCUGGGAAUGAUGAACUCUCCUGGAGGAGAGUUUCCCUCCAGGGAUUCAUCAGUGGGAAUGUUUUGCAACUAAAACAGCAUAGCUAUGGUUCACUGUAUGGGAGGAACAGCACAUAGCUGCUGGAAGCAAGGGAAGAGAAGUGGGCUCUUUCCUUCAUUACUCCUCUGCGGCCUAAAAUCUAUCACUGCCCCCCUGUCAUUGCUGGCAAAGUGAUGACCUCGUGAGGACAAGACUCAAAAUAGCACCAACACUGAGUUCAGUUCAGGGGGUAUUAAGCAGAGCCAUCAUUUCUCAAAGAUUGUUCACUUGAGUACGGUGGUAGAAUAGCAUUCCUUGACCGAAAGUUACUUUUUCUUUUGAGUUUCUCGGAGAAGCAGUCCUGAAAAUUGUCAGUGGGUGAGUAUGAAGUUUGGUUGCAUAUAAGAGGAGAGAAAAAGCAAAGUGAAACAAGAUGGUUUCUCAAGUGAAAUCUGGAGGUCAUCAAUCCAAGGCUGGCAUGUUGCUCAGGGACCUGGGUUCUUUUGUUUCACCAUCCUGAUUGUGGCUUACAUACUCAACAGUCACUCGUGGUCCAAGGUGACUGCUAGAGCACCAGUCAUCAAGCCCAUAUUCCAGGCAGGAGGAAAGGAGUGAGUUGAAGCAAAAGAAGCACACCUCCCUGCUUCUAGCCCCCAAUAAGGAGCUUUUUUAAAAUCUUAACCUGUCAGGAAUGUAAACACAUGACUAAAGUUAGUUGCAAGAAAGGCUGGAAAUUUGGGGCUUUUAGUUGAGUGUGCUGCCGCCCGAAGUGGCACUGGAGUUCCGUUUCUAAGCCCUGGGGAGACUGGAUAUUGCAUUGGCGGUUAGCAGUCUCUGACAGUAAUAUUCUCUAGUGUUCUCUUUUGAAGUUGCACAAGUUUGGGGUAGUUGGUGCACAUAGACCAUGGGAAAGGAAUCUUAGUAACUGAGAUGGCUCAGUUCUGAGCGGGCUCAGAACAGGCUCUGGUUUCCAUUCUUGUGCAGAGCUGGGAACCCAGAGCAGUUUCCAAAGGCCCAGCCUUGUUGUGUCCAGAAUCUCCCAGUCCUACCCAGAGUCUGCGUUUUGGGUGGGUUUUUUUAAAGGUACUCUGUGGAAUGAACCUGCAAGUAGUUUCAAGAAUGGAGGUCCUAGAGUCGAGCUGUCAGAUUUGAAUG